GCUAGUCGCACGGGCUUAGACCCGUGGCGUAUAGCUCAGUAACACGUGGCCAAACUACCCUAUAGACCAUGAUAACCUCGGGAAACUGAGGCUAAUCGUGGAUAUCGCAUUCACGCUUGAACUGCCGAAUGCGAGAAACGUUCCGGCGCUAUAGGAUGUGGCUGCGGCCGAUUAGGUAGACGGUGGGGUAACGGCCCACCGUGCCAGUAAUCGGUACGGGUGGUGACAGCCAGAACCCGGAGACGGUAUCUGAGACAAGAUACCGGGCCCUACGGGGCGCAGCAGGCGCGAAACCUUUACACUGCACGACAGUGCGAUAGGGGGACUCCGAGUGCGAGGGCAUAUAGCCCUCGCUUUUCUCGACCGUAAGGUGGUCGACGAAUAAGGACUGGGCAAGACCGGUGCCAGCCGCCGCGGUAAUACCGGCAGUCCGAGUGAUGGCCGCUGUUAUUGGGCCUAAAGCGUCCGUAGCUUGCCGUGAAAGUCUAUCGGGAAAUCGACGUGCUCAACGCGUCGGCUUCCGGUGGAAACUGCACGGCUUGGGGCCGGAAGACUCAGCGGGUACGUCCGGGGUAGGAGUGAAAUCCUGUAAUCCUGGACGGGCCACCAAUGGCGAAAGCACGCUGAGAAGCCGGACCCGACAGUGAGGGACGAAAGCCAGGGUCUCGAACCGGAUUAGAUACCCGGGUAGUCCUGGCCGUAAACGAUGCUCGUUAGGUCUGCCGUG
rnacentral:rRNA from 1 species